rfam:Candidatus Yonathbacteria bacterium RIFCSPLOWO2_01_FTLL_43_27 rifcsplowo2_01_scaffold_1304, whole genome shotgun sequence.
GGAGGAGUGCCAGAGCGGUCUAAUGGAACGGUCUUGAAAACCGUCGUCUCGGUAACGGGACCGUGAGUUCGAAUCUCACCUCCUCCG